rnacentral:tRNA from 1 species
AGCCCUGGGGUGUGACACACCAGAUUGCAAAUCUGGAGAAGCAGGCUAACCCCUGCCGGGGCUU